GACGAACGCUGGCGGCGUGCUUAACACAUGCAAGUCGAACGAAGUGGCGAACGGGUGAGUAACGCGUAAUCAACCUGCCCUUCAGAGGGGGACAACAGUUGGAAACGACUGCUAAUACCGCAUACUGAAGGAGGGGCUUGGGUCUGAUUAGCUAGUUGGAGGGGUAACGGCCCACCAAGGCGAUGAUCAGUAGCCGGUCGGAGAGGAGGACCGGCCACAUGGGGACUGAGACCGGGCCCAGACUCCUACGGGAGGCAGCAGUGGGGAACUUUCCGAAAUGGACGAAAUUCGGACGGAGCAACGCCGCGGGAGUGAUGACGGCCUUCGGGUGGUAAAGCUCUGUUAUUCGGGACGCGGUACCGGAAUAGAAAGCCCCGGUAACUACGUGCCAGCAGCCGCGGUAAUAC
rnacentral:rRNA from 1 species